rnacentral:tRNA from 1 species
GCAUCCGUAGCUCAGCUGGAUAGAGUACUCGGCUACGAACCGAGAGGUCUCAGGUUCGAAUCCUGUCGGGCGCA